rnacentral:rRNA from 1 species
AACGAACGCUGGCGGCGUGUUUAAGACAUGCAAGUCGCACGGAGAAUAUGAAUAGCUUGCUAAUUGUAUUCUUAGUGGCGCACGGGUGAGUAACACGUGAGUUACAUGCCUCACAGAGGGGAAUAGCCCGCCGAAAGGCGGAUUAAUACCCCAUGGUCCCGCAAGGGUAAAGCGGCUUCGGCUGUCGCUGUGAGAUUGGCUCGCGUCCUAUCAGCUUGUGUAGUACGGCUUACCAAGGCACGACGGUAGCUGGUCUGAGAGGACGAUCAGUCACACUGGAACUGAGACACGGUCCAGACACCUACGGGUGGCAGCCAGUCGAGAAUAAUUCACAAUGGGGGAAACCCUGAUGGUG